UACGGGGGGGGCAAGCGUUGUUCGGAAUUACUGGGCGUAAAGGGCUCGUAGGUGGCCAACUAAGUCAGACGUGAAAUCCCUCGGCUUAACCGGGGAACUGCGUCUAAUACUGGAUGGCUUGAGUUUGGGAGAGGGAUGCGGAAUUCCAGGUGUAGCGGUGAAAUGCGUAGAUAUCUGGAGGAACACCGGUGGCGAAGGCGGCAUCCUGGACCAACACUGACACUGAGGAGCGAAAGCCAGGGGAGCAAACGGG
rnacentral:rRNA from 1 species